UACGAAGGGUGCAAGCGUUACUCGGAAUUACUGGGCGUAAAGCGUGCGUAGGUGGUUUGUUAAGUCUGAUGUGAAAGCCCUGGGCUCAACCUGGGAAUUGCAUUGGAUACUGGCAGGCUAGAGUGCGGUAGAGGAUGGCGGAAUUCCCGGUGUAGCAGUGAAAUGCGUAGAGAUCGGGAGGAACACCAACAGCGAAGGCAGAUCUCUGGGCGUAUACGACGCUGAGAGCGAAAGCGUGGGGAG
rnacentral:rRNA from 1 species